rnacentral:lncRNA from 1 species
CCCUUUUCACUUGAUUGUCACUUGUCUCUUUUCCAUUUUGACAAAAUUCUCAGGCUUUACAAAAUUACUUUAUAGAAGAGUGCAGAAAUAAAAUCCUAAAAAUAGCAAAAUUACAUAAACUAAAAACCUAAUUUUUAAAUAUAGGAAAAUCUGAAUUUAACAUGCAUAAACUAGAAAAUACAGGUUAUUACUAGCUCUCUAAAACGGUUCUUACAAGUCACCCAAUGAAGUAAUUCUAACUACUGAAUGAAAUUGUGUAGUCCACUUCCAAUUGGCGGCUUCACGACAACGUUAGUUUUCAUAUUAUUCUAAGGCAAACCCUUCACAUUGCACAUGUGUUUCAUGCUAGGCUUUCCUUUUCCAAAUUGUAGUUUUUCUCGUUUCGUUUUCUAAGCCAUCAUCAAUUUGAAUUUGGAUUCUCUUAAAGAUGUCUCAUGCUGUUCCUUGGAGUUGUUUUGUUGUUGUCAUCGCCACGUUCUGUUGGAAAAAUCUCCCUAUACACACUCAUACACACUCAUACCACCUGUUGGGAAAAACGGUGAACCCACACAAAUAAUUUUACUCUUCAAUCCAUUAUGGGUUUGACCCACACAAAUAAUAUUACUCUUCAAUCUAUGGUGGGUUGCUUUCAUUAAACUUUGACAACCUUUAAAUUGGUGCAAAUUGGAUCUUGGACCAAUUACAAAUAAUAAAAACUGACAAUAAAAUAUGAACUUACCUACAAAUAAAAUCUCCUUAUUCUAUCAUAAAAUAAUAUUCUAUCUAGAUAAACCAAAAUCAUAACUACUAUUCUUAUUUUAUCUCUAUCAAAUCAAACCAAAUAUUAUUAGACCCAAAACUAAUAAAAUAAUAAAUUUCUAAAUUUAAGUUUAUCUCAACACGUUCAUGUUCUAAUUGAAUUUUACGUACAUGCACUCUACAUCAACACCCAUAGAGAGUGGUGAGAUGAAAGAUUAAAGCUAUUCCUCCCUUGCUCCUGCGGGAUAAUAAAUACGCAAGAUGAGUACCUAUAUUAAUAAAUGUCAGAUUGCCAUUUUUAAAUAUAAAGAUCAUAUUCAGUCAAAAAUCUAGAGAUUGAAUUAUUAUUACAGGACCAAAAAUAUUAUUAAGCUUUAGAGGUAACUUCGUCUUUUUAAAUAAUUUAAAAAAUAAAGUGUUUCUGUACAUAAUUUAGUAGGACCGAAAGAUACACCUUUCUGUUGUAGCUUUCUUUAUUUUGUGAUGUUUGAUCUCUUGUUCCAAGCUCUUCAAGUUCGAAUGAAGGGAAAGGGUAUAUGUAAAAGGUACUCCAACACUCAAUGACUUUGCGUGAAAAUAAUGAUAAUAUUCAAUAGAGAGUAAGUAUUCAUAAUUAAUUCAAAGUUGUUUACCUUUGCGACUUAACCAAGUUAUUUUAUGGACACUAAACUGUCAUAGGUCCACCAAAACGAUCUUACCUUUUAAUUUUCGUCGGUUACUCAUUAACAGCUUUCUUAACCUGCAAUCAGUUAUCAAUAUUUUUAAUCAUUAUGUUAUUAGUUUAUUAACUUAUUUUAUUUGUUCAAUCCAUUGACCCAAUAACAAUGUCUUAAACGCUGACCCAAUUAUGACCUAACAUAAUAUCUUGGGGGUUACUCCCUACACCUCCCCAUUUGCUGCCUCCACCUCCUCAUUUAUUUUUUACCUUUCAUUCUAUUUUUUUAUUCCUAUUCUAUCCUUUUAAUAUAAGUUUACUUUAGAUUAAAAUUUUAUAAUUUUUACUCACUAUAAUUAUUUCAUUCUUACUCGUUAGUCAUCGUGGUUCCUCUUCUCUUUGCUGUGAGAAUUUAGUGAGUGAAAGAUUAGUGAAAAAAAUUAUUUUAAGAAUUACAAAAAUUCAUCUCUCUAUUGAAGGUAGUGGUGCUCUGAAAACUUCUGGGUGAAUAAACGUCAGUAACCCUUCACAAAAAUAAACCAGUACGUAACUUAAACGGAUAUGAGUAUCCGUCUACGGAUGUCAACUUCCGUUUCGCUAUGCUAAGGUUCCUUUUAGGUCCCAACUUUUGAGUAAUGUGUACGUUGCAGAGGUUGGUUAAUGGCAGUAAAAAAAAAGAAUGAAAAUCUAAAUUUAAAAAAUUGAAUUUUGGGAUGAAGUCAAGAGGAAAAAGCUGAUCAAUGAUGCCGCAGUUGAAAGCAAAAUGCCAAAUACUACGAUUCAGAAUUUUGGAAACUGAGGUUUGACAGCUAAUUCUCUUUUUUAAUCCUUAAGAUCCUCAAUCAUUCAUCUUCCACUUUACCCAAUUACAUUUUACUAUUCAAGUUUUAAUCUUCAACAACAUUGCUUCAAAAGGGUACUUUUAAAUUCUGUAGAAUGAACUCAAAUUGUGUAUUUAUUUAAAGUAAAGUUGCUUCAACAAAGACGAAGCACUAACCGUCGCGAACCAUCCAAUGUAAACAGUGAAACACCACCGCACACAACAAUAGGGCACAACACCGCACCGCAUCACAGCAACGCACCACCACACUGCACCACAGCAACGCACCACCGCACCGCACCGGAGAGCAAAGUAAAGUUUGGAGAGUUUGGAUGAGAAGAAGAGUCAUAAAGUUGGAAGAAGAAGGGACAGAUCUAAAAUUUGGGGAGGUGUGGGCUGUGAGGCUCUGAGGAGAAUAAAAAUAAAUUAUAUAGCUUCAGGGUUUCUCC